rnacentral:lncRNA from 1 species
UGGGAAAUAAAGCAGGAAAAAAAAAUAUUCAACAGGUGGUGGACAUUUCACUUUUGACUAUUUUGAAUAAUGAUGUUAUGAAUAUUCAUGUGCAAGUUUUUGUGUGGACAUAUGUUUUCAUUUUUUGUGUGUAUCUACAUACCUAGGAGUGAAAUUGCUGGACAAUACGGUAACUCCAUGUUUAACAUUUUGAGGAACUGCCAGACUAUUUUCCAAUGUGGCUGCACUGUUUUACAUUCCCACCAGCAAUGUGUGAGGGUUCCGAUUUGCCCAUAUCUCACCAGCACUUGUUACUGUCUGUCUUUUUGAUUAUAGCCAUCCUAGUGGAUGUGAAGUAGUAUCUCAUUGUGGUUUUAAUUUGCAUUUCUCUAAUGACUAAUGAUGUUGAGCAUCUUUUCAUGUGCUUAUUAGCCAUUUGUUUAUUUUCUUUAGAGCAAUAUCUAUUCAAAUCCUUUGCCCGUUAAGAAAUUUGGGUUACUUUUUAUUAUUGAGUUGUAAGAGUUCUUUAUGUAUUCUGGGUACAAAUUCCUCAUCAGAUACAUCAUUUGCAGUUAUUUUGUCCCAUUCUGUGGGUUGUCUUUUCACUUUCUUGAUGGUGUCCUUUAUGCUUUGAAGCAUAAAAGUUUUAAUUUUGACAAGUCAGAUUUGCCCUCUGUUCUUGAGUCAACCCAGAUUACACGACAGAUUUCUGUGCUUUCAGGUGUUUCUGUCAUAUGUAACGAGUCUCUAGAGUUAAAUAGUCUAUAACCAGUCUCAUGGCCUUUAAUACUCAAGAAUUUCUUAUGUUGGUGACUUUGUUUUAGCUUUUCGAAACUUAAAAUCCUGUGAAAGCAGAGACUAAGGCAUAUAGGCUUUUUAUAGCAUUUUAUUCGUCGUGUCCCUGGUAACAACCAACCCUAAGCUGAUGAACACUUGGACUGGGGGCCAGGCUUCUGGGACUAGCUAGAGGUUGGACACAAGUGCACUGAGGGUGCGUUUAAGCACAAGCCAGGAAAAUGAAGCAGUCGUUUCCCAUUGUAGUCUGAACUCCCCCGUGUUGUCUAAUGAGAUUUUCGGCUCUAUUUACUCUGAUGUGAGGCAUGGGAUUUAAUCUCAAGAAGCGUAUCUGGGUGGUGUAGAUCAGUUACCGGAAUGAAGAACUCUCUCCUACCCUGAUCCCUACAAAAUAUUUUAGUAGUUCACCUUCUCGCUGUGCUGUGCAGACAAGACCAAAAAGAAGUGCGACGUAGUACUUACAUGACAGCGUUCUGUGGGCUGUCUCAUGUGCGGCCUCCUCUGAGCCACCUCCCGCCUCUGGGAUAGGAAGCGCUGUUUCCUCACUGAGGAGCAAGCUCAGGACGUGCACAACAGGGGCUGUUUCUUCUCCAGCAUCAGGUGCCCACUCGUAUUUGGGAAUGCAGGUGUCUCUUUUGGGGGACAUACUUGGGAUUAUUUGCAAAUGUGUUUCAGAGCCUCAUUUGUUCUGUAUCCGUUUUUGGUCUCUUCAUCAGGCGUUUCCAUUUCUAAGUUGGGGUACAUGAAUGUGUUUUUUUCUUUGCACGUAAUCUGAACAAGUAUUAAUCAUGUAGCUGGGGGCUGGGGUGUGUGGAACAGAAAUGUAAGAGGGAGAGGAAACUUCGGUAAGAAAAAGUGGAGAUGAGAAGUUCUGUCUUUUCAAAUGCAAGAGGGUUGUGACAAUUUAUGAAAUAGUGAAUCCAGUAGGGUACAAGACAAUUUAAACUUCCCAGGCUUGUUCACUGAGGGUUACCCUUGAGGCAUCACAAUGCUUGGGCAGCUUUUUAGCGAGUAUAAUCUUGAAAUGAGGCAUGGUCCUGUGUUCCCACUUUGAAUGAAGUUGCCUGGAAUGGAUGAAAGUGAGGGACAAUGGCAUCUUGGAUUGUUCUGAUGGUUCGCUUCUGCAGAACUCAGAACCUCUCCAUAUGUUUCGUGAUCAUGGGGCCAACCCCAGACUUGACAGUUCUUUCAGAGAAGUCACUCUUGGAAUGUUUUUGGACCCUAGGAAGCCUUGGCCUCUUUGCCUGCUGUAUUCUUGGUGGGGACAGAUAACUUGAAGGUGGAUGUGAUAUGGUUACGUGGGGGCCUCUAAAGGCAGAGUGCCUGCUUCAGUUCCAUCUUCAGCCUAGAACUAUGUGACCUUGAGUACCUUCCUCAAUUUCUGUUUCUUCACCUGUAAAAUGUGGAUAAUAAUACCUAUCUCAUGAGAUUAUUGUGAGGAGUCAAUGAAACCUUGUGUGAUGUUCAAAGAACAGCAUACAAAAUAGUGCUCACUCCAUGCUGAGCACACAGUCAGUGUUAGCUGCUGUUGUUGUUGCUGCUGUGGACCAACCAAAACAGUAAUUUGAACCCUGCUCUUAUAAAUGAAGUGGGUAAUCGGGUUGGGUAGCAGUAUUUUUGCUAAAACAUGAAGUGUGAAAAGAAAUAGCAACACUAGUAAUUCCCCUUUAUCAAGCACCUCCUCUGCAUUAGGCCUGUGGUGCAGGCUCUUGUAUUGCCUGAUGUAAUUCUCACAACAGUCGUGCAGGGUGGUUUUAUCAUGCCGCUGAGGUCCGACAGCUGCUCAGUGUAGAGCAAGUCCUGGUUGCACAGCCCAGGAGCUGGGCCUUCUUUUGACUACCGCCUUGCUUUCGUGUCUCUGAUCACCUUGGCAGCCAGAGUAUUGCCCUGAGCCUAUAAUUUCAGCUACUCACAUGAGCCCUGGGCCUGAGGGAGGUAAGAGCUCCAGGACAGAAACCUUUGUCUGGCUGAGUCUUUUCUGUUGUGAUGAUUGAACAGUGAGGAGGAGGACCCCAGGGGGCUUGUCUUUUAAAAAGGCCCAUGCUCACCUGUUUCUAAACCAGGUGCCUAUUGGUCUUCUUCCACAGGCAGAAAGAUGCCUACCCCGGGGUCGGGGAUGAGGGUAUGAGGGCGGCUCUGCCCCCACUCCACUGUCACAGUACAGGCUCUGCAGGAUGCGUGCAGGGUCUGGGUGACCUUGUCUGUGUACUGGCCUUUCUUAGGAAGGGCGUGUUCUCAGUUACAUAUUCUCUAGAAGCAAGUCCCUUAUCAGAUAGAUGACUUGCAGAAGUCACCCAUUCUGUGGAGUCUUUCCACUUUUUUCAUGGUGUCUUUUGAAGCCAGCACUCUUUUGCCACCCCUUGCUCUCCUCCCUCUGCCCUGCCCUGUUUCUCCUAUAGUGAGGCUUUGCUAGUGUUGGGAUGCUGCAGGCUGUAAGAUAGGAGGGUGGCAGCAGCCCCUCCCUGCCACAUGCACACACUUCUCAUCCUGUUAAGGUAACUCAGCCCACAGAAGAGUUAAGAUUAGAGACCAGCAGUUAAGUAGGCAUGGAGUCAGGGUGAAGCCCUGCCUGAAAGAAUUGGGGACUGCAGAGAAAGGCCUAGGGUCCAGUGCAGCCUGAUGCAGCGGCCAGGUGAGCCUGGGCCCAGCGCAGGCGGACUGCCUGGCGCUACAGGGGCUGGGCCAUGGGGCGGCGUGUGGGCUGCUGAGUGCUGAGCACGGUUGGUUGCUUUGGGUCUGGAAGUGCCAAAGACUGCAUACACUGACGGGUCGGGCGGGUGGCCCUGCUCUUGCUGCCUCCGGCUGUAUUGUCCGGGACUUACUGUGAUAAUGCACUCAAACAGGCGAGGGGCCAUGCUGGCCUGGCUCUGCAGCUGUAAACAAUGUUUGCUCUGUGAGUUUUCUCCUUCACCCCUGCUCUCCUGGAGCCCUGUGCCCUCCACACCGCCACCCCCUCUCUCCUGGCAUAUUCUAACCUUGGCUAAACAGCUUCAUUCAUAAGAUGGUCAGUGUUUUGUGGGAGGAAAAUGGACUGAAAAUAACCAAGUCUCAAGAACCUCCAGCUCUGAUGCACAAGCGAACACGGUUUUGUUUCUGGGUAGAGGUGUAACUGAUGUCUGGAUAACCAAGGUAUCUUCCUUUUCUUCCUCAAGUGCUUCACUGCUUCGGAAGCCUGUUUGAAAACACUCACACAUGCAUGGUCAGGUAACAAAAACAACUUUCCUAAAACGAUUUCGCUGGCAGAGAGGAUUGGGAAGAUUCCCAUUCAGUGCCUCACAGAACAAAGCCUUCCACUGUGCGUCUUGGCAGGAGGGGAAGGUGGAAAACGGUGGGGCACGGAUAUAGGGGCCUGGGUGGUCUGUGACUUACACGUAGGGAAUAUUUGAGUUUCUAUAUUUUCUCCAUAGAAACGUGUUUUUCCCCCUGCUUCUCAUUUUCUUCUAUAGUUUAACACAAAAAUAGCGUGAAAGAAAACCCUCCCUCACACCUGCAUUGCCUCUGACAGUUGCACUGGUUGGUUUCAUGGGAGGAAACCUGCUGCAGCUUCUCUGUGUUGAUUGGUGGUUGAUGAUGUCAUGGCAUAAGACUCAGACAGGUUGUUUUCUCUAUGGGACAGGCCCCAAAAAGCAGACACAGUGCUCUUGCUCUUUUGUCUCCUCCAGUUCAUGCUGUCGGACAAGAUCGAAAGAGGUGGGAGCAGAGCCAUGGCUGCAGGUUGCAUUGAUUUAUUCAUAAAGUUCAGUCUCGGGACCCUAGAGUAGGGGGCUUCUCAUAUAUGGAAAAAGCCUUUGUUUUUCAUGAGAGCACAUAGUCCCAUGCGGUGAAGAGACUUUUUUCACUGAAGAGAUUUUGGUUUUCUGCUUUAAUCUUCUCUGUUAGGAGAAAGGUAGAGGCAUUUUCAAAGAAACCGCAUUCUACUGGCCCAAGAAAGGUUAGAAAGAGGGGUUAAGUUCAGGAAAAUAAAUAAUAAUUAGAAAAAUUUCCAUUGUUUCCUUGCAGAGUUUGGGAACUCUUGCUGUCAGCAUGCUUCCAUCAUAUAAUGAGAACUCUAAUAUGUGAAUUAAGGGAGUAGCACAACCACAAGAGUGUUGCCUCUGAUCUAAAGAGCCCAAGGAGCAGAAGUGACUUUUGAGUUUACUCUUGCAUGGGCUUGAUGAGAUUUGCUUUUACCUUGGCCCUUACUGGGGCUGUGUGGUGCAGAGACAACACUUGAGUCGUGGGUGAGCCAGUAGGACAGGCCUGGCCUGGCCUGAGUCUCUUAGGGAAAUACCCAUCACAGUUGAACUCCUUAGGACUGCCUUGGUUGACGUUGUGGGUGGGCUCAACUUGUACGGCCCAGCAGAAUUGCUCGAUGCUUCUCAUCUGUAGCUGCUCAGAUUAUGUGGAAGCCUAAUGCAGAGGCUAGGCUUCUUCCAGGGGUUUCUGCAGCAGAUAGCACCAAUGCAUGAAGCUCUCUGUUUUGUCAAGGAUCAUUGGGUGACUGUCUUUAGACAUGGUGAGGUCUCUAAGCAUCUGAAAGCCUUUCUCCUUACAUUUUACAUACAAGCAUGGCCAAAGACCCAAAACGUUACCUCAGAACACAUUUUUUCAACCCACUUUUCUUUCUUCAGACUCAUAGUCAUACCUGAAUUAGCACUGACCUUAAUGACCAUUUCCAAAAAGCUUGACCGGAAAAGUCAAACCACUCUGGUAAGAGGAGGAGGUGAGGUAUGUCUGACAGGAGGCAUCAUUGGCGGAAGAGAGGACUGGACAGGCGUCUCUCCCAACCCAGAGAACUAGCCUUUAUGAGGCCAGGCUAUAUUUACCCUUCUUGGAGCACCCAGGACUUUGAUUUGUUGGGCAAAAGGAAAUUCUAAAAGCUGGCCUGGCAGCCACAGUCGCUGGUGUAUGGUCUUCCUUUACCCAUUGGGAGUGUGCUGAAUUCUGUGCUCCCUGCCAGCAUACAAUCACUGGGCUAUCUUUAGGUGCUUGUGGUGUAACCCCAGGAGAGACAGAGCAUUACAGCUGGUUUACAUUUUCCUAAACAAAGCAUACACACUCGGAGGUUAGGCACACCAUUUCCCUGAGCUCUGUAGGAUAUUACUCAAUUCUUUUGUUUGGCACAUCUCCUUUUGUUAUUGUUAUUUUAAGGUUGGGGAGAGUAGAGAUUUGCUGAAUAGAUGGUUGACAUUUAUGUAGGAAUGAAGGCCCAUCUGAAGAUGGACGAACCUCUCAUUAUUCAGCCAAAUGUGUGCUGUAUUCCCAGACUUGCCUUCUGUUUCCUUUCUUCUCAGCCCUGGUGGCACGUUAGAAGCAUGAUUGGAGUAGAGUGGCACACACCUACCCCAUGCCACCACAGAGAUUCUGAUUUGAUUGAUCUGGGGUAAGGCCUGAUCAUUGGUGUAUUUUUCAGGUUCCCUGAUGAUUCUAGUGAACAAAUAGCUAAUCUCAGAGUAUAGUGAAAUGUAAUUUGUUUUCCUUUUUCUCCCUUUUUCACACAUCCCAAAAGUGGCACAUAGGAUGCACAUGAUAAUUCUUUCUCAUCAUCGAAGGAAGUAUAUGUGCCAUAAAUUGAAAAUUGCCUAAAUUUAUGAGCAAUAACAUCUGUUGCUCUCUUGUGCCACUUGAAGCUCAACUUGUCUCUGCUUUCCCUCCUUCAACUUCCAUCUUUGCAGGGAACCCCUUGUCUGCUGGGAAGAGCCCAGCUGUAGCUGCUAACGGCCUUCGUAAUCCAUUGGGCCUCUCUUCAAGCCCCAGGCACCUUUCUCUGGAAAAACUGAGAUGGGACAAUGCCUGCAGUGCUCAGACUUUGGCCUGCUGUCACCAUUAUCCGCUGGUUGAAAGGCUUCAUCUCCACUCUUGAGGAUGACCAUGGUUUUCAGCUUGGCUGACAGUAGACAUUAGUGCUUGUGUUCACUUCUCUAAUGAUGGAAUCUCUCUGGGCAGGAGUCUUCUGAGUCUCUUAGGGUGAUAGCAGGCCAGAGAAAAAUGGUGUCGAAUAGCUCUGAGCUGCAUUUUCCCCCACAGUAACCAAAAUCAAGACUUGGUAUAGGUCUGAGAGAGCAAAGAGCAUUGUGGAGUACAGUCAGUGCUGAGUGAUCACCUGCUGGGCCUGUGAUAAAGUAGAUGGAAUAAGUGUUCUAACUGGUCCUUUUGUCCUCUGGCCUGUGGGCACAACUGGAUGUCUUGUACAUUUUUCGUGGCCAGGUAAGGGAAGAGUGGAUUAACUCAUCGUUCUGCCAGUGUUCUGACAUCAUGGGAGUUUGCAUGGCUUUUGGCUUGUUUUGUGUAAUUUAUUGCGCCCUGAUUAAAUAGCUCUCUGUGAACGUUUGAAAUUAGUCCAUAGAUAUAGAAAAUGUUCUUUAAGCAUUUGAUUAUUCUCUACUUAAUUUCUGCCGCCUCCUCAGCCUAGUCUCCCUUUCUGAUUCCCUGAGGCUGCCGUUGCUUUUGUAUUUAUACAGCCUUGGGUUUAUGUUCUCUGUGCCUCUCUCCUUGUGAUAAAGAUUUUUUAUUCUUUUACUCCCGCGUAUGUUACAUCCUUUCAUACAUUCGUAUAGUCCGUCACUGGAUUUGAAUAUGGAGCUAGUCCUUCCUUGUUCCCUUUGAUCUUUGGGUUUGGUUUGGCUUUUCUAAAGUUGUGUUGUAUGGAUUUAACAGCCUUCAUCAGGAUCAGUUCUCUUCUUUUAUAGGCUGACUCACAAAUGCUUUUCACCAAUAAGAAGUCUUAUUUUUAAAGUUGUGUCCAACUGGCCCAGAAAGGGCAAAUAUGAAAAUGGCAGCUGAUUGAUACAUUGCAAAAAUCAGACCUUGAUCCUCAAAAGUCCACAUAUUGUAUAAGAUGGUAGAGAGGUGAUGUCUGGAAGAGAGAGUGGACAUCAGCGGACACCAAGCACAUCAGCUCCUAAUGAAAAGUGCCCACUCGGAAAGACUGCAGAGGACGUGUCUUAGGGGAGAGCAAGGACGGGGGAAACCUCUGGGAGGUGAGGCUGAGUAUAUAGGGGAGUUAGCUGGGUAUGGAGUGAUAGUUACAGAAGGCACAAUGGUCAGAUUUGAGAAUUGAAGGUGAGAGAAGGAACAGGGAAGUUCAGAAUUUUAUGGGAAUAAUAAUAUAAUCACUUACGCUCAGGGGUCUUACACAUUUGGUGUUGACUAUUGAGAAUAAAGAUAAGGAGUUACGUAAAUUUUGUGUCAGUUCUCUUUGAGAAGAAUGGGCACUAGCCCUAGUGGUAAUCUUGAUCAUUUAUUACUCCUUACAGUUGCUGAAUCUUUUAUACUUUUAUUCAAAGCCAACCAUAGCAAGCUGAGUGAUCAUCAGUAUUAAUAAUCCCUUAUUGAUUAAUACAUAUAGGAUUCAAUGGGACUAUUUUUUGAUAUUACAAAAAAAUAAGGUGGUUAAUUUUAGAUUAUCUUUGGCUAAUCAUUAAAUAUGACAUUUUGCUGUCAUUAAAUAGGUUAUGCAGAUCAGCUUAACAAGAGCAAGUCAGUCACCACAGUCCCAACGUUAUAGUUUUCAUAUUUUUUAUAACUUGUGAUAAAAUUAAUAUUACCUAGUUCCUUUGUCUUGAAAAUAUAACACGUGUAUACCUUUAUUUAAAAGGCAAAGGUGAAAAUAUUUAAAAGAUUUAGCAGAUUAUUCAUAAUUUGCUUAUUUCAUUUUGCUAACAAAGGAAGAAAAUGUGCUCUUUGUUUGAAAAAACACCCCAGACCAUGGCACUUCCGUUCGCAGGCUUUUGUCCUCGGCCUCAGAGUUGUAAGUGGCCCAGGGGCCUUCUGCAGGCUCUGAAGGCGUGUGCUGGCCUGGAGCAGCACAGAACUGCUGCUGGUGACCGGACUUCUAGGGCUGCCUGUUAGUGCUUUCGGUAGAUAUGGUACGUACUCCUGGGUCUGUUUAAAUGAGCUCAGAUCAAUAGUGUGUGGGAUAGAGUUGAUGGUUCCAGAUGUCUUUUGAAUGGGUGCCUAAUGUUUCCGUGGUGCCUUGGGUGAGGUAACUGUUUCUGGCAGUAGACAGGCAGUAGUGGGUGGGACUAUUUGCUGUAGAAGAGGGCAGUCAUUCUCAUUUAGUAUAAAGAUAGGAGCCUAGUUUCCCCAGUCACUCUCCAACCAGGAAGGGCUUUUCAUUUCCAAGUGUGGAAAGAGGCAUUUGUUUGACUCCUUUGGAAGUGAUUGUCUGAUGCCACCUUUCAGAGUUGCAGACACAGAGUCAGGUCUCUUCUUCACUAGGUACAGUGUGGAGUCAGAUGCUUUCGCCAGCCUGAAUUCACCGUCCAUAGCCCAGACCAGGCCCCAUGGGCGUUGUGUCCUACCUCACGGUGUGUGUUCUUUUUGAGGGAUGGCAGGGAUGAGUGGCCAUCACUCGCUCCUACAGCACCUUUGUGUGGGGUGGGAAAAUGCACCCCUCCUGUGUGGAUGCUCCUCCUCACCAGGUGUAUGGUUUGCUUAGUGAGGUUGUGGGCCGAAUGUCAUCCUCUGCUCCCCCACCCUUAACUGGGGAGCUUGCACUACUGUACAUGGUGGCCAGUGGUGGGGACCAGGAGCCUGGUAUUUGUUCAGGGUCAUGAGCGCUAAUGCCUAUGUGGAUGUGUGUUCAUCCUUCAUUGCUUGUUACCCAAAUGGUUUUUACUACAAGUGCUUAAUGUCCUUGAGAUUUCAGCUAGAGCCAGGAGCACUGGCAGGAGAGUAGUAAACUUACCUUACAAAUGAAAAGUGCUCAGACCUCCACUUUAAGUUACCUGCUCAAAAAAGCUUCCGUGACCAACUUGUCUUAGGGCCCCUCUUAUUAUUCUAAGUUCCUGUAACCUGUGCAUUUCCUUUCUGGCACUCAAAUUUUGUAGAUGUGUGCUUGUUUUUUGUCUAUAUCCACCACUAGACAGUAAGUUCUCUAAGGGCAGGCACUGUGUUUUCCUUGACCAAUGUAAAUUUAAUGUCAAGUAUAGGGCCUGACAUAUAUACCACACACUCAAUAAAUACUUGGAUGAAUGAAGUAAAAGGUAGCAAGACACGUUGGUCUUCUGCCGAGAAAAUAGUGACUUUGGGGAUGCCCAGGUAUACAUCUCAUUCUUGUGGGGGUGCCCAGGUGCAGAGGAGUGUCUGUGGCUCCUCUCUGCCCUUCCCCCUCAUGUCCCUUUCUUCCCAUUUAGAGACCCGGUACUUGGUUUCAUUCUGGUGACACUGAACUUGGUGAGUCUAUCCCUUCAGAAGGGAAAACUCACUCUGGACUAAGGAGCUUGCUUCCAAGGAAUUCAUAGCCUGCCAGGCAGAGAGCAUGUGUCCUAUUUGCUAUUUUUAAAACGCACUGCCCUGGCUCUGGUCAGAGGCCGCACCCAUUGGGCUCCCAGCUGCCUGCCAGAUCUUGUGCUGGGCAGCGCUGUGUAGGAGUCUUCCUUGGUAAGUGAAGUAUAGCAUAGAUUUUGUUCAUGUGUGCUGCUGGGUGCCUCCCAGAUUACUGUUUUCUCAGGACACGGUUCUCAUGUGACAUAAAAGCGAUGUCCUCUUGGUUUAUUUUUUGACUUUUUUUUUAGUGGUGGUAUAGCAUAUGUUCUUAAAGGGCAUAUAUCUUAAGUGUACCACUCAAAUUUGUGUAUAUAUAAACAUCUGUUUGUAUUGACAGGGUUCAGUUGGGAGUUGAGUCACUAUGAAAUUUUGGGAAUAAGGGCGUCAAAUUACAGGAAUUAGACCUAACACAAUUGUGGGAGGAGAUGGGGGAGUGACGUUCCAGAUGGGAGCAUUGGCGGUCAGAGAGGAGUUGCUACCCAGUCUGCCUGAAGCAUUGGCAUUGGUGGACAAGUCAGAACUUACAGGGAAGUCUGAGAAGCCAGGCACAUCCAUUGCUGAAGUGCGACCACCACAGGGGAACUCCUGGAGAGUUCUGUGGGAAGCUGUUGCCUCUGAGUAGCUACUGUCCAGUUGGGUCCACAGCCAAGUGUCUGGUGGUGGACCUGAGGCUCUUGGUCAGGAGGGUCAGCAAUGAGAAAGAAGAGCUGGAGGCAGUGUAGAGGAGAGCAAGGACAGGCUGGAACCUUCCAGGCACCUCUGUCUCUGUCCCUCACCACAAUGGACUGCUAAGACCUUUAGAGAGUGAUGGCCACUGCUUCAAUUCCAUCUUCCAAAUCUCAAACAAGUUCCUCUUUUGGCCAAUUCUAAGUCAGAACUCUUAACUGGGGAUUCUGGAAAACAUAAUCAAGCAGACACAGCACUGUCUGACAUUCUGUGUAGCCACCAUCCAAAUCAGGAUCCCAAAGCCUCUCUCUUGCCCCUUCCUAGACAGUAACACCAUCCCUACCCCUAACUAUUAUUCUCCCUGACUUCUGCACCAUGGAUGUGAAUUGUGUUCUUGAUCUUUAUGUAAACAGAGUCAUGCAAUAUGUUCUUUUUUUGUCGGCCUCCUUUUACCCGCUGUUGAUCUGUAAGUUUCAUCCAUGCUGCUGCAUGUUGCAGCAGCUCGUUCCUUUUCACUGCUGCCUGGUGUUCCAUUGCAUGACCGUAACUGCAACUUCUUUCUCGUUUUGCUAUCUGUGGUCAUCUUGGUUGUUUCCAGUUUUGAAGUCUUGUCUUUUGGUCAACACAGACAUUCAUUUCUUUUGGAUGUGUCCCCAAGAAUAGAAUUGUUGAGUUUUAAGGUAGACAUAUGGUUAGCUUCGAGAACUACUGCUGAAGAGUUUUCCAAAGUGGUUGUACCAGCUUACACUCUCAGUGUCUAAGAGUUCCCGUUGUUCCAUAUCCUUAUCUACUCUUGGUAUUGUCAGUCUUUAAUUUUAGUCACCCUAAUGGGUGUGUAGUAGUAUCUCAUUGUGGUUUUGAUUGACAUUUUCCUGAUGACUGAUGAUAUUGGGCACCUGUUCAGAUGCUUUUUGGCAAUUUGGAUGUCUUUUGUGAAGUACCUGGUCAACUCUCUUGCCCGUUUUUCAUUGGGUGUCUGCUUUUUUGGUGUGUACAAAUCCUUUACAUAUUCUGGAUAUGAGACUAUUCUCAGUUACAAGUAGCCCUUUGAUUUUAAGGAGGCAUGUUCCUUCUGAAGCAGGGAACAGAUGGUGGUUCAGGCAUGUUUGAAGAGGGAAGCCUUUGAAAAAAAUGUGGUUAUUUAUUGCUCCUUUCUCAGAGAGCUAAUACAGUUUAGGAUUGGAAGUUAGCAACCCAACUUAUACAUGAUUUUAAAAACAAAAUAUUGGAUCCACAGAUAUUUCUAUUACUUUUUAAAUUCUAUUGCUUUUUAAAUUUUUUUUUAUCUUGAGCACUUAAGUAUAUUUAUGUAAGCCAGGAAUUUAAUUCAUUCCAUAAAGAUUUGAAUGUUUGUAGUGGAUCUGACACUCUGCUAAAUGCUGGGGAUAGAAACCUGACUGAGAGAAACGCUGUCUUCCAGGAGUGGAGUCUAGUGGGAGGGGUUUAGGAACAGAGGAAAGAUCUGUACCUAGGAAGAAGGGAAGAGCAAAGUUGUUCAGAGUAGGGCUCAGAGAAGUUGUGAUACUGAAGCCCUGAUGGAUGUCAAGGUCCAUACUCAUCAUCUGCCUUAGUUCAGAGAAGACUGAAGGAGGUUGAGUGUGUGCGUGGGUAGGGAAAUGUAUUGUACAGGAUGUACAGGCAGAGCAUGGCAUGUUCCGGGAGCGGCAAGCAGAUGUGAAUGGCUGAAGCAUGGGGUGCAUGUUGGGAGGGACAGAGUGAUGAGGAUGGAGGUGAAGCAAUGUCAGCAUGGGCUGGCAGCCAGAGAGUUCAGUCUGUUGGCGAAAUGACGUCUUUCAAUGUGUGUACCAGGGAAGUGGCAUGAUUAGAUUUGUUUAGAAAGAUCACUUUGGAAGAAAUAUGGUAUAUGAAUUGAAUUUCAAACUUGAGGCAGCAUCUACAACCUUGUGCACCUAUGUUCAUAGCAGCAUUAUUCCCACUAACCGAAAGGUGGAAACAACCCAAGUGUCCACUAAUGGACGAAUAUAUGCAUGCAAUGGAGUAUUAUUCAGUCAUAAAAAAGGAAUGGAGUUCUGGUACAUGUUACAAUGUCGAUAAACAUUGACAAUAUUAUGCCAAGUGAAAUAAACUGGACACACAAGGACAAAUACUAUAUGAUUCCACUUAUAUGAGAUACCUAGAAUAGGCAAAUUCAUACAGACAGAAAGUAGAAUAGAGAUUACCAGGGGAUGGAGGGGAGGG